UCGUUGAUUUAAAUAAAUAUUGAAACUCAGGCAACACUGCUGAUGGUAACAACAAUUUGCAUUAGAAGUAAUUUUUUUCUCUCUCUGUUAAUAGUUCUAUCCCUUCUACUGGAGUAUUAUGAAUGUACAAGUUGGCUAACUUGAUAGACAGCUGAUUAUACAGUGUUGCCUUGUUGCCUAAGUUUCAGUAUAUAUCGUUAAACCAAUUAUAAUUUACUAUUUUAUUUGGCUAUCAGCCACAAUUUAAGUGUGAAAUUAAAUUUAUUUGGCGUUUUAUCCUAAGUUGCCAUAAGAAAAUAGCUUCAGAACAAUACAGUAUAAAAUUGUUUGAAAUAAGUUACGUUUUUAAGUAAAUAUUUAUAAAUAAUAUGUAAUAAUUCAUCUCGAUGGCUUCCAUUAACGUUUUAUUCACUUAGUAGGUAUAACUUUCAGCAUUUAUUAACAUUGUAAUAAUAAGCAGCUUACUUUGAAAUUAACUAUUGAACUUGUUAUUUGAAAAUUAUCAAUACAAUUCUGAUUGAAAACAAACAUAUUCUGUAACAAGUUGCUUAUUUUGGAAGCUAGCUUAUUUUCUGGGUUGCAAAUUGCAAUGCAAUUAUCAAACCUCGCUACCGUAUCAGCGAUUUAAAGGACGAAUCCUGCUUUGUUUUAUUUCUUAUAUUCAAUCUUUUAUAUUUUGAAACAAGGUGGAUAACAGAAAACAAACGUAAUUUUUAAAAUGUGGUUGCAUUAAAAAACAACGUGUACUACUUAUAUAGGUAUUUAUGGACAAACUAGGGAUUCCAAAAAGGUAAUUUGCAUGAUAAUAAUGACGAUUGGGUACGUAGAUCUUAUCAAACAAGAAAAUACAGAACGAUAUUAAAUAUAUAGAUAGAGUGAGAUCGACAGACAGAAUAAGUCUUCUUAACAGACCUUAAGCUGCGACAGAAACAUCCUGUUAUGGCUGUUACUCAUCUCAUACUAAUGGCACCAGUGGCGCACCCAGGGGGUGGUUUGGGUGUUAAAACCCCUCCCACCGGCCACCAGUACAUACAAAGAAUAGUAGGAAAAUACAAAUCGGAGAUCCAAAAGUUUUUUUGAUCCAAAAUUGAGUGAUUUGAAAUGGAAUCACCCGUAAUUAUAUGGUAUAAGUUCUUGGCUUGUGGCAGGUGUCGUCCAUUGACGAUUGACGACUCUCUGGAAUUGACCUAGCAGCUUGGUCUUCUGGCCAGUCUUUUUAGGCUUAGGAGUCUGUCAAUCACUGGAGGGUUUUGAAUUUUAAACUUUAUCGCAGAGUAAAUGUUGAAAAAUACUUUUUAUUGUACCUAUUAUAUUAUAUAAACAAUGAAAUAUUAUUCUGGUCCAGAUAAUAAAAAUAUUAUUUAUAACAAUUA
rnacentral:lncRNA from 1 species